rnacentral:siRNA from 1 species
CAGCGACCUGGGUUCGACUCCCGGU